GCUGGGCAUGGUGGCGCAUGCCUGUAGUCCCAGCUCCUCGGGAGGCUGAGGCAGGAGAAUCACUUGAACCCGGGAAGUGGAGGUUGCAGUGAGCCAAGAUCAUGCCACUGCACUCCAGUCUGGGUGACAGAGCGAGACUCUGUCUCAA
rnacentral:SRP_RNA from 1 species